GUUUGAUCCUGGCUCAGAUUGAACGCUGGCGGCAGGCCUAACACAUGCAAGUCGAGCGGCAGCACGGGUACUUGUACCUGGUGGCGAGCGGCGGACGGGUGAGUAAUGCCUAGGAAUCUGCCUGGUAGUGGGGGAUAACGCUCGGAAACGGACGCUAAUACCGCAUACGUCCUACGGGAGAAAGCAGGGGACCUUCGGGCCUUGCGCUAUCAGAUGAGCCUAGGUCGGAUUAGCUAGUUGGUGAGGUAAUGGCUCACCAAGGCGACGAUCCGUAACUGGUCUGAGAGGAUGAUCAGUCACACUGGAACUGAGACACGGUCCAGACUCCUACGGGAGGCAGCAGUGGGGAAUAUUGGACAAUGGGCGAAAGCCUGAUCCAGCCAUGCCGCGUGUGUGAAGAAGGUCUUCGGAUUGUAAAGCACUUUAAGUUGGGAGGAAGGGCAUUUACCUAAUACGUAAGUGUUUUGACGUUACCGACAGAAUAAGCACCGGCUAACUCUGUGCCAGCAG
rnacentral:rRNA from 1 species